CUGUCUCGAUAUCCAGCCACCAGUCUGUGUUAAACCCAAGCUAUAUGGAAAGGCCAUUCUAGUUAACAGCUGCAGACGAGCUCUCAACUGUCAGCCAGCAUUAACUGUCAACCAUGUGGGAAGCUGUUUUGGAAGUCCAGCCUAGUGGAGCCUUCAGAUGAUGUCAGCUUAGUCAUUAGAGAUGGCACCUGCGUGAAAGACAUCAGAUCAUGUAGCAGACUAACAGGAAUGCAGCUGGAGCUCAAGAACCAAGACACAAGAAUCAGAGGAGCUGAAUCAGUGCUGGUACAAGAAGAUAGGUCUUUAUAACUUCAAUUGCAUGUUGAAAGAAGCCCAAAUCACACAGACAGACCACAUGGAGGACUGCGGAGGUCAUCUGUUGACAGCCUUAGAUGAGCUCCAAGCUACCAAACCAGCAUUAACUGCCAAUCCUGUGAACAAGUGAUCUUGGAUGUUCCAACCAGCCAAAGCAGGCAUGAUGAUAUAAAGGGAAGAAACUGUUGUAUGACAUCCAGCACUGACAUGAUGAACGCUGCUCCAGAUGACAUUGAACUUGGGACUGAAGAGACUAUGCAUUAUGCAUGGCACUUUGCCAAUCUGUACCAUAUAAACUGCUAUCAUAGACAGGGCAAGGGGAAGAGGAAUCAGAUCUAUACUGAAUACAAUGGCAUCCUGGGCUGAUGCCAAGCCAAAUGAUCAGGCUAGAUUCAAGUUGACAGUUUACUUGGAUGUAUUGGUCAGCUUGGGCUGCCGUACCAAAGUGCCGUGGACUGAGUGGCUUAAACAACAAUAAUUUCUCAUAGUUCCGGGACUGGGAAAGUCCACGACCAGGGUGCCGAUUAGAAGAUGAUGGAAAAAUGAAGUUGAAUUGAUCAUUGUUUCUACCUUCAAGGAUGUUAUAGUCUACUAGAAAAAAUAUAGGUAAUAGAUGAAUAACGAGAGAGGGAAUGAUUAUGAACAUACGAAUUCAGAGGAGGAAGUGAUGAUUGUUGUUUCAUUUGUGGAAACAGAAGAAGGAUUUCCAGCAUAGAGGUAUUUGUACUGCUGCCUGAGGGAUGAAUGAGAGUUGAGCAAAUGGAAAACAUAGAGGUAGGUAUUCUGGGCAGAAGAGCCAAGGCCCAGACGAAAGAAAUAACAUAGCCAUUUGCUCCCUAAAUAGAUUGGAAAGACAGGACUGGAAAAGAACAUAGAAAAUACUGGCUGUCACUUAGAUUUUAGACGUUCUGAAGAUCUUGGGAGAUCUGAAAUAGGGGAGGAGACGGUAGAAAGUUAUGUUGUAUAGUAGAAUUGUAGAUUUUACAAUGUCUUAGGAGGCAAGGAACUAGCAGUCACCUUUGAGUCCAUAAUUUUUAUCUUGGGUGUUGGGGAGAAUAAUGUUCUUAGAAAGAGGAGCUAUGAGGUUUGGAGCAAGGUGUUUUGGUUUUUUUAAAGAUUUUAU